GCCCUUGUAGCUCAAUGGAUUAGAGCACUUGUUUCCGGGGCAAGGGGUUACCGGUUCGAAUCCGGUCAAGGGUACCA
rnacentral:tRNA from 1 species